AAACAUGAAAAUUGUUUGGAGUUGGAACAGCUUUCCUUCGUUUGCCGCUAGGGCCGUUGUUCCAACUCCAUACAAAUUGGAGUUA
rnacentral:pre_miRNA from 1 species